CUUCGGUGAGAUCUGUACAAAACAUACGACGACUAACCGCCGACAAGCAAUUGAUGCUUUGUUCGAAACCGGAAAGUGCGCCUGCCCUCCCAUAUCACUAUCAUUAUCUAAAGAAGGGGUGAAAAUUCCAAGGGCGAAAACCAUGAAAUCUAUUCUGUGUAGUUUGAUCCUUCUUUGUGCAAUUAGCUUCAUUAUUGGAGAUGAUGCAAGCAGGGGCAAAUCUGGUUUACAUUUUUCGAAUACUUUGUGGACUGAAUCUACUAGAGAAGUACUUCUCUUUCGUAUGAAACGUCAGGUACCUGCUCCUGAAGGUGUCAGCCAACCCAUAUGCAAUAUGUUUGGCUGCAACUGUACACCGCCCCCAAAUGCAGUCUGUUGCGAUGGAUAUAAAUACGACAGACGUUCACGACGUUGCCGGAAGGUUUCUCAAUAAUAUAACGACUACCAGUCACUUUUAUAUCAGAACUUAUUGCUUUCUUUAUUAUUUAGGUAAAAGCUCCCAGCUACAAGCAUCAUGAAAUUUAUUUUUUGCAUUUUCUUCUUGCUUUGUGCAAGUGGCAUCAUUGUUAGUUCUUCUAUCAGUAAUGAAAGUAGUGGAAAGCAUAGCUUAGUUUUACAGUCCUUGGAAUCUGAUACUGCAGUCUUCGUUCCUCGGAUUAAGCGCCAACUUCGGCCGCAAGGAGUCAGCAAACCAUUGUGCAAUAUGUUUGGUUGCAACUGCACUCCGCCGCCAAAAGCCAAAUGCUGUAGAGGAUACAGGUACGACAGGCGAUCCAAACGUUGCAGAAAGGUCUCUAAAUAACAUGGUUUUUUGAUAUAAUAUUGCCACGAAGAGACAAGUUUCACAUCAUUUAUGUAGUUAAUGGAAGUUAAAUAAAAAAAAUAUUCUCUUUGACAUUUAUAAGAAAAUAUAAUUUUGUAUAAAAAAUGAAUUACCAGAUGUAGUCUCUAACACAUAAAAGUUAGUAUCAAAUUUUGAAUAUUUCUGCAAUGCAAUUAUAAACAAUAAAAUUUGAAUUUUGAAU